UUAAGUUCAGCGGGUAGUCCUACCUGAUCUGAGAUCGAACGUUUGAAAAGCUGUCUUCGCCGAGGAGAGACGUUUAUGAGCUCCAGCGAACCUCCGUUGCCAAAGGUUACCUGGCAGACGACCGCAGGUGUAGAUAGUUAUCACACCCGUGAUGCCGCCGUACACUGGCAAGCUGAUUUGUUUGAGGGGAGCUGACCGCA
rnacentral:misc_RNA from 1 species